UGCAGUCGAGCGGGCUACGCUUCCACCGAGUUUCCGCCCCGGCGUCUUUGCUCCCGGAGCGCUCUGUUGCUUACGCGCAGCAGAGGCGCUUCUUUGCGGACGGGAGGGGGUGCGGGAAUUGGGUGGAAGCGUGGUCAGCGGCGAACGGUCGCGUAACACGUAGGGAACCUGCCCGAAAGACCGGGACAACUCUCCGAAAGGGGGGCUAAUACCGGAUGGGGCCGCUCUAAGACCUCUUGGAGCGAUUAAACCCUCGGCAACGGGGGCUUUCGGAGGGGCCUGCGGCCUAUCAGCUAGAUGGCGGAGUGACGGCCCACCAUGGCGACGACGGGUAGCUGGUCUGAGAGGAUGGUCAGCCGGACUGGGACUGAGAGACGGCCCAGACUCCUACGGGGGGCAGCAAUUAGGAAUCUUGCGCAAUGGGGGCAACCCUGACGCAGCGACGCCGCGUGGAGGAGGAAGUCCUUCGGGAUGUAAACUCCUUUUCUUCAGGAAGAAACAAAUGACGGUACUGGAGGAACAAGCCCCGGCUAACUACGUGCCAGCAGCCGCGGUAAUACGUAGGGGGCGAGCGUUGUCCGAAGUUACUGGGCGUAAAGGGCGCGUAGGCGGGGGGCCAAGUCCGCUGUGAAAGCCCGGAGCUUAACUCCGGUAGGUCGGUGGAGACUGGUCCUCUUGAAGAGGCUAGAGGGAGAUGGAAUUACCGGUGUAGCGGUGAAAUGCGUAGAGAUCGGUAGGAACACCCGUGGCGAAAGCGGUCUCCUGGGGCCUUCUUGACGCUGAGGCGCGAAAGCUGGGGGAGCGAACGGGAUUAGAUACCCCGGUAGUCCCAGCCCUAAACGAUGGAUACUAGGUGUGCGGGGUAUCGACCCCC
rnacentral:rRNA from 1 species